AGUGUCUCAAUAUAGCCCUGGAGAAGCUGCUGUCUUUCCUUGCCUCAAAGGUGUAUUGCUGGCUCAAGUUCAAUUUUUUUGGCCACCAGCACCUAUAGUUCUUUGUCUGCAAAGUUUCUUCCCAGCUGCUCAGCCUAGCAGUCGACAAUUUUGUGAAUGGCAGCACAGCCAUUUGGGCCUCUGCAAACUCCCCAAGCAUGCACUCUGUCCUAUCAUUCAGGCUAGUGACCAGAGCACUUGGAGCACAGCUGUUCAAGCAGUCAGGCCAUUUCCAAGCCACAUCCCCAUCUAGCCUGUAUUCUGUCACUUAUGAGAGACAGUGCUGCUGUACUGUUAAAGACAGGAUUAAAAAUAUCCACCACUCUUCCUUCAUCUAUCUACCAAGCAAUUCUUAUCACAGAAGGUAUCAUGUUGGGUAUGCAUGACUCCUGCUACAUGAACCCACACUGACUGUUCCAGAUCAUCAUCCUGGUCCUUGCAUUAGGAUAAGGCUUCCAGAAGGAUAUGCUCCAUCCAGGUUCCAGGGGGUGAGGUGAAGUUGACUGGUCUAUAG